rnacentral:tRNA from 1 species
UAGCUCAAGCGGAUAGAGCAGCGGUUUCCUAAACCGCGUGUCGGUGGUUCGAGUCCUCC